ensembl:lncRNA
GUCUAUACUGGAUUUUGAAUAUAACAGUGGUGGAUAACAUAGGACAGGAUAAGUCUGUGUUUUAAAGACUUAUACAGCCCCGAUGCUGGUGUACAAAAAUGGCGACAAAGGAAAUCUCUGAUCAUAGAAUUGUGAAGAUGCAGACAUUUCAGCCUGGUCCGCGCUGCAAACAUCUAGAAAUAAUCGCUACAGUGAAAUUCAGGAAAGAACAUACAUUGUGCCUCAACCCCAAAGAUGCAUGGGUUCAGAAGGCCCUGAAAAGAAGGAACCUGGCACAAUAGAUUGCUACUGCAUUGAAGAUGGUUGAAGGAGAAGAAAAUUAGGAAGAGUUGAUGAAGUAAAAUUCUCUUACCACCUCAGUAUUUCUUCACUCAUCAUAUGAGUAAUUAUCUAGGUUCUAACGGAAUAUGUAUAAAAAUUAUACAUAGUCUAUAUUACUGUAAUAAAAUCAACAUUGUCUAGAUUUUUUUAUUAUACAACAAUUUAUGAACAUUUCACUAAUAUUACUAAUAAAAGUCUUUUGAACAUUCAAUACUGUCUGUGUUAUUCACAACUUCAUAGUAAUGGCUCUAAAUAACUUGGACAUACACCAGUAUAAAUAAUUUUAAAACUCUCUAAAUCCUACAACGUGACAAAUAAAUGAA